AAUUUAAUGUUAGAGCUAUUUAAUCAGAGCUAUUUUUAUCAGAGCUAUUUCUACAAUUGUUGCAGAGUGCUUAAGGUUUUUAGACAAUUUUCAUCAGAGCUAUUUAAUGAUUUCUCCCCCUUUUUGUCAGAAUCAAAAAGACAUAGUAAAUAAAUAAUUGAAGAGAAAAACAAAACAUUGUAUUAAAAUAUAGCAGAAACGAAAAACCAAGAGAA
rnacentral:lncRNA from 1 species